GAAAAUAUUACUUAUUUAAGAGAGAGACUUUGUAUCAUUUUUUUCAAUGUAAUCAUGAAUCCAACAUCCAGUGUCCCUCUUGAGAGUCCGAGACAGCUUAUCACUGAUGCAACCAUGUGUAUAAGAGCUGCUUUACUGAAGGUCUAUGAAGAUAGCAGAAAUUUGAACAUUCUUAGAGAGAACGGUUACGAGAGAGAAAAUCUGAACAAUCUGACUGACGACGAAAAGAUGAUUCUUUUGAUCCAUAAACGAAAUUCCGAAAAUUAGAAUCUUCAAGAACUCUCAUGUCUUCCAUUUUGGAAUCGCAGGUCUUCAGCAGUUGGAGAAAUUGCUCCCUCAUUCUGGCAACGUUAAAAAUGUUAUACAUUUGCAACCACAAGUUACUUGAGUGCAAUUGCUACCUCCCGUCGCAUCCAAUUAGAUGUCCAAUUUUCGAAAAUAAAUUAAAUUCAAAACUCCACUUCUGAUGGUUUGAUUCAAUUUAUCUAACUAACUAACAAACCAAAACUAAUUUUUUUAUUUUAAUAUAAACUUCAAAUUUUA